GCCGGGUGUGGUGGCGCAUGCCUGUAAUCCCAGCUACUCAGGAGGCUGAGGCAUGAGAAUUGCUUGAACCCGGGAGGCCGAGGUUGCAGUGAGCCAAGAUUGAGUCACUGCACUCCAGCCUGGGUGACAGAGCAAGGCUUCGUCUCAA
rfam:Nomascus leucogenys chromosome 6, whole genome shotgun sequence.